rnacentral:rRNA from 1 species
UACGGAGGGAGCUAGCGUUGUUCGGAAUUACUGGGCGUAAAGCGCACGUAGGCGGCUUUUUAAGUCAGGGGUGAAAUCCCGGGGCUCAACCCCGGAACUGCCCCUUGAAACUGGAGAGCUAGAAUCUUGGAGAGGCGAGUGGAAUUCCGAGUGUAGAGGUGAAAUUCGUAGAUAUUCGGAAGAACACCAGUGGCGAAGGCGACUCGCUGGACAAGUAUUGACGCUGAGGUGCGAAAGCGUGGGGAGCAA